GACAGAGGAUGCAAGCGUUAUCCGGAAUGAUUGGGCGUAAAGCGUCUGUAGGUGGCUUUUAAGUCCGCCGUCAAAUCCCAGGGCUCAACCCUGGACAGGCGGUGGAACUACCAAGCUGGAGUACGGUAGGGCAGAGGGAAUUCCGGUGGAGCGGUGAAUGCGUAGAGAUCGGAAAGAACACCAACGGCGAAAGCACUCUGCUGGCCGACACUGACACUGAGAGACGAAAGCUAGGGGAGCGAAUGGG
rnacentral:rRNA from 1 species